UACGGAGGGGGCGAGCGUUAUUCGGAAUUAUUGGGCGUAAAGAGCACGUAGGCGGACGGGUCAGUCUGAUGUGAAAGCGCUACCGCUCAACGGAGCGUUGCCGUUGGAAACUACCCGUCUUGAGUGAGGCAGAGGUUGGUGGAAUUCCAGGUGUAGCGGUGGAAUGCGUAGAUAUCUGGAGGAACACCCGUGGCGAAGGCGACCAACUGGGCCUUUACUGACGCUGAGGUGCGAAAGCCAGGGGAGCAAACGGG
rnacentral:rRNA from 1 species